GUGAUAUAGUUCUCAGAAGUUACCACAUCCAUUUGAAGGCGUUGUGAGUAUAAACUUUGAAGACGAAAUGUUUGGCCAGCGGAAAUAUCUGUGUUUGUUAUUGUUUUGGUCAAGAUAGUGUAUGCUUCAUGGAACUGUAGUGGUAACUUCGCCAUAGGCUUUGUGCUGUUCCGAUUUAUAAGAUACGAAAAGCAGAACGCAAAAUGGGUUGCAAAAUUGUUGGAGAGAGAAUAGGAAACGUAAUAUACAUUGACAUUCUGGGAGAAACACAUUGCAAAUUCAGUAGUACCACAACAGAACGACUACAGGAGCGAACUGUACACCUCGCCACUCUAAAUUGGGGCCCAGCUCAUCGCCAGACUGCAGAAGAACGUCUUUAUGAAAUAGGAUACCCUGGACCAUAUUUAAGCUCUUAUGGGGCGUGAUGGUUACAGAAACAUCCGCCAGCUUGUCACAAGCUAGUAAUGUUGGUGACUGGGCUGAGGAUACUGUUUUGAUCAAGACUGACCCACAUCUCGUUUUGGACAAUCCCUCCACCACUCCAAAUGCUCCACAAAAAACCGAGGCUUCAUCGUCAUGAAAGAUUGCCCAUCAGCUCUCGAACAUACAAGGUACCAUGGCGAAUAAGUUCCGCUGCCAUCCUUAGCCUGAUGUUCCUUCCAUCGUGUGGCCAAGAAGGGGAAUGAUUUGGCGUCGCACUUCUGUGCGUUGAAUUGAACUUGUGAUCGCUUAGAGACUGCUAGUGUUUCACCACCACCAGCAAGAGAUGAUGGACUAUGCUUCAUCACGUGUCAUUCACCCUGAUGCCACCAACUCAGACCAAGGGCACUACUCACAGGUGCCACCUAGCCACAGCAAAGGCCACCUGACAGGACGGCCAUUGCCAGGCGUCCCGAUGCCCCAGGGGGAUGGGUGUCUACCCCGUGGCAUACGUGGGGAUUUAAUGGCGCAGGCAUCAGCAGAGCGAUUCCUGUGUGGUCAGGGGGCUACAACCAACACGGUACAUGGCGGCCCCACCACAACGGACUGGCUACCGUGCUGGAUAUCAUGUGCAAAGAAAUCCAUGGUCAUCGUCGACACAGAAAGCGACACUGCACAAUGCGUGGUGGAAAACACAUCCAGGAAGGUGUCCUCGCCCAAGAGAUGGGGAAUGAGCGGGACUGAGAUGCGACAAUGAGGAAGUGGGCUAAAGAUUUCAAUGCACGAUGGACAUUAUGCACCAUGUAAGGCUCCCUUCCCCAAUUGGCUUGAUAUUCGCAAAAAUUUUGAAGAAUGGAGUUCAAAACCCUACAGGGGACCGUCACAUAAAGGCCGAAACGUGGGAAACUCCUUUUAAUCGCCUGACAGGCAGUAAUACCUAGGGCCUAUUCUUACCCCCGGACAUGCAGGGGGAGAACCAUCAGUGAUUUCACCAUACAGGCAAAGCAAAAAUGACUGAUAUGAAUCUACUACUUACUAUCUAAACAUUUUGGGGAUGACUGGAAGAGCAUAAAUCAAAAUAUUUACCAGAAAGACAUGCUGAGUUUGAUAUGAAAUGAUUAAUGUGACCAUAUUUAUUGUGUAAUAAAAACGUUUUCAAAGACAAA